GGACUUGUGUCUAUUGUGUGUCUGUAGGCCGACUCCACACAUGACAGGGUGGUGAAGCGGGAGGAGGGAGAGAAACUGGCAAAGGAGUUCGGAGUGCCCUACAUGGAGACGAGCGCUAAAUCUGGACUGAAUGUGGAGCUGGCCUUCACUGCUGUGGCCAAAGAACUGAAGCACAGGACCAUGAAGGAGCCUGACCAGCCAAAGUUUCAGCUUCAGGAGUACGUCGACAAAGAAAUGAGGACUGCUGGCUGCUGCCGCUCGUAGACCACAUGCUAUCUGUGUGUGUGUGUGUGUGUGUGUGUGUGUGUGUGAGGAAGGGAACAUGUACGUUCUGUUAGAGUAUGUAAUUAAUUUGAAUUGGUGUGUCUGGGAAUAAUCAUGGAUUCUCAGUGUUUGUAAUAUUUAUUUUUGACGUGAUACUGCCAAUAUGCUCUCUCUCCCAACCCACCUUUCCUCUGCAACUGUGAAUGUAAUAUAAAUUCCUAUCUACAUGCUUACACAUAUACAGUACAUGCAUGUUUAUACACACACACACAACCUUGUACUUCUAUCUUAGUAAGGACACUCAUUGACAUAAUGCAUUCCCUAAACCUAACAUAAUGCCUGUGCCAAUUCGGAGCACUACAUUUUUAUCUUAACCCAACCAUAACCACUUCGACACAAUGCCUACUCCUAAUUACCUCAUGAGAAACAAACAAAUAAAAUACUCUUGUCAAUGGUUAAGGACAGAGGAUGUCACACCUUGUUAAGCCCUAUGAGACAAAUUGUGAUUUGUGAAUAUGGGCUAUAUAAGUAAACUUUGAGUGAUUUAAAUGACCAUUAAGUCAGAAGUUUAGAAGCCUCAUUUGGAGAACCUACAAAAAUAGCUUCCUGAGGUCAUAAUGCAUUGACUAACUGAUUGUCCUAAAACUCCUAAGCCUAACCGCCUUUGUCUGGAAACCUAGUGGUCAGGAGAUUGAUCCGUAAGUUACACCUUUACAAGAUGAAGCUGCAAGUCAGAACUCUAUCAUCUUAAAGCUGGGCAGUGGGACUGCACUUGAGAUACAAAUCAGAAAUAUGACGAAAAUCCACAAACAUGGACAAUUCACUCUGGAUGGAACUGACUCAGCCUGAAAGUCAGAAAUAUGAUUUGGUAAAGGCGAUACAGGGAUGGAGAGCUAUUGACUGAUGUGGGUCUGCCAGGACAUUGCCUUUGGCUCCCCACUUCAACUGCUCAGAUAACUUAACACUCCCUGACCCUAAUGACAAGUCUUUACCCUCAAACAGACCUUUGAGGAAUGCAGGAUCGACCCCUGUCCUAAAGUUUAACGCUCAAAAUGGUCCUCACAAAGCUGGCUGUACAAGUAAACACACACACACACUUUUAUCAUAGUGAGCACACCCAUUGGCAUAAUGCAUUUCCUGGCCCCUUACACUAACCCUAACCAUCACAACUGGAUGUCUAUGCCUAAACUAAACCCUCAAAACAAGGCUUAACUCUCAAACAGACAAGCACCCCCACUCAGGAGUCUACACUCAAAAUGGUCUCAACAAAGAUAUAACUACAAGUACACACCCACACACCUGUUAGAUCCGUUCUGUGCCGUUUUCCAUAAGUGUGACCAUGUACAUAUCUCAAAUGUAAUUUUACUUUUGUGUUCUGAAAUCUUUGUAGUAUGUAAACGUCCCCGUCAUGUUGAAACUCAAGUAUAUGAACACAAACAUGCUAAAUAUUGAAUCAAUCUUCUUAAUGUAAUAGAAAUAGAUCUGAUGAACACGUUCGUAUGGAUACAGCUCUGCUCCUGAUGUUAAAACGUCAAAUGGCACUGUGUGCUGUUUAUGUACAGGAGGAAAUAUGAUGUUUUUAAUACUAUAUCCUAGUGGUCAUGACUGUCAACAGCUGUCUGUAAAAUUUGAUUUAAGCUCUUUUUCAUUUAGUCCAGUUUGGGUUUAAAGCUUUAAUGUUUAAUAUGAAUACAUCUCUCUCUCUGUAAUUAUUAGACCAUGUUCAAUCAGUAAAUGCAUGUAGGCGUUCACUGACCACUACUGUACUUUGCAUUUUACUUAUUUAGGAGAAAUCAGUUGUGUUGCAUUUUCAUAACUCAAGGUCUUUUCCUGGAUCAUCAUGGGCUUCAUCAUCUUUAUUAUUUUUGUGUCGAAUCCAUGAAGUUGAUGAAAGGUGGUGGAAAGCAUCAAAGAAAGACAUUUAAUUAAUUUGUAGUUUAUAUGUUAACAUAAUAAUGUUGUUUGUAUCACAGUGAAUUUUAAACCACACCAAGCAUUGUGUAUAAAAACAAAACCUUGAUGAAGCAUUGGGAAUCGUCCGACAGAGGUUGAACAGUUGCCUCUCCCUUAGAGCUGGGCAAAAUUGCCAGAAGUGAUCAUCAAGAUAAAAAUGUUCAUUUGAUUUUAAUAAAUAUCUCAACAAAUGUCACAUUUUUUGUUUAGUUUGAAGAUUUUUGCUCCUGAGUUAAGAUUGGGGUUUUAAAAUCUUCCUUAUUAGAGACAAACAGCAAAACAUUUUGCAAAUCUGAGGAAGAGCAUCGAAACCGCUGAUGUGUUAAACCUCCUCAUCAUGCUCUCACAAUGAAUAAGCUAUAUAUUGAACUUUUGUCAUAUUGCUAUUGAUGAAAAUUAUAUUGAGAUAAUCAUCUUUUUAUCUUUAAGCACCCAGCUCUGGUUGCUUUCAUUCCAUAGACGUGUCACCAUUAUUACUGUGCUGAGCUAAUGUUGUGAUAUGGCUUCAGUCCCGAGAGGAAAAUGGAGUGGGAUGAAAGAUGUUGCUGUUGUGGAUUGUUUUCAAGGACAAAGAAAGAUGGAGGAUUCAUGAGUAAAGGUUGCUUUGAUUAAAAAAAACACAAUUUUAUUUAUUUUCUAUCAUUGCUGCUUCUGCC